GCAAGUCGAACGGUAACGAUGGAGAGCUUGCUCUCUAUAGCCGAGUGGCGAACGGGUGAGUAACACGUGACCAACCUGUCUUUGGGUGAGGGACAACCUGGGGAAACCCGGGCUAAUACCGCAUAAAGUCUUUUUUUCACCUGGGAAAGAGACCAAAGGGGGCCUCUGCUUGCAUGCUCUCGCCCGAUGAGGGGGUCGCGUCGUAUCAGCUUGUUGGUGAGGUAACGGCUCACCAAGGCUAUGACGCGUAGCGGGUCUGAGAGGACGAUC
rnacentral:rRNA from 1 species